UUAAACAAUGAGCAGUGUUUUGUGAUUUUUUUUAAAUAAUUUGUUAGUCCUUCAAGCGUAAAACUGGUUAAAUGCAAAUACUGUAAGAAAAAAAGUCUAAGUAAGGGAAAAACAAACAUCUCAGUCGCCAGACUGUGUGGGACUGUGGAACAGUCCGGUCCAGAAUUUCAGUUACCGGGCGCCAUUUUGACUUCUUCGACUUGGUUUAACCAGCCACGGUUCUCGUCAUCACUGUAACAACUACGUCAGCGAGUGUUUCUGUUUUAACCGUGGCAUAAAUAUGGUUUGCCAUAAUAGAAAAUUACGCGGCUGGCGAUUAUGGCAUAUUCUGACCGGGAAUCAGGACUAAUUUGUUCAUUUCUCCAGCAUCACGACAGAGAUGACUUUAAUGAGGUGAGGAGGAAGCUCCCUCUUGCUGAGGAGCAGACAGACCUCCAGUCUGAGGCGGAAGCCAUUGAAAGGCCUCAAAGAAGAAGAAUUAAGCCAAGUAAAUGUCCAGGACCAGGCCUCAUCAGAGGAUGAAGCCCAGACCCCUGGAAGAGGGCUUCCCCCACCCCCAGCCAUCCCCCCGGUGAGGAGAAGGUUCAUCCUCCCCAAUAACCUGUACCUCUGCCUGACCUGACCAAUUACCAGCAUGUCAUGACGCUGUGGACAUCAUUGCGGCAGGCGAUUGACCUGCAGGGUCACCAGGGAACCCAGGGGGUUCCAGUUCCAACUCCCUCUUCAUCUGGUGGGAUGAUGAGGGAGGAAUCGGCUCUCCAGGUGCCUACUGUUUGCCCUAACUCCUCUCCAGGGCAGUGGCAGCAGAGGGACAACACGACAUGUAAGGUUUUUAUGGUUUACACUCACCCAGUCCUCACAUGCCAGUUACAGUAUACGAACACACAUGAUCCACGCAUACAUACUAAUAUAAGAUGGUUUAUAAAGUUAAACACACACAUAGGCAAGGCAGGGCAAGGUGAAGUUCAUAGGCGGCGAUCCCAGGGGGGACACAAAGUUGUCCCCCCCACAAAAGUUAUUGUAAACACAUAAAUGCUAUCAGUAAACCUGUAUUGUCUUCUAAAACCACAACGUAAAAGUUAGUCUGCAAAUACAAAACAAUGUGUUUUUAAUUGUUGAGAAAUUAUAGUUCCCCCACCCUCCCCAAUUCCUCAAGUUGGUACGGUCGGUCCACACAUGCUGUUUCCAACGGGCGGGGCUGCCGGCUCUGCCCAGCUCACAGCUUCACAGCAGCCCGCCGGCUCACAGGAGGCAGGAAUCAAAAAGCCAGCGGUUUCCAGCAGUAGGUCAUUUAUCACACGCUUGUUCUACAAACUUAAAUAUGUAUGUCAGAUGUGGUCAUAAAUGUCAAACAUAGACACCGAUUAUCUUUAGAUUUUGAUCACCGGUCAGAGAUCCCUUUAUGACAGACCACCGCCACCACAGUAAAAAAAAAAAGUUGUCACUUCAUGUUCUCUGGUCAUUCCAGGAUUAUUCCACUAUUAUUAUUUCAUUCACUAAGGCACAUAUUUCAGAGUCAAGGCCCACGGGCCAGAUGCGGCCCGCGGAGCAUUUUUAUGUGGCCCGCGAGAUAAAUAUCAAAAAUAUAUUAAAACUGGCCCGCUGGCCGAUUUUACCGCAAAGACUACAACUCCCACGAUGCUUUGCGGCGCCAGCGCAGAGCAGACGCGCCCCCUCCUUUGUGUUUUUUCAGCGACGAGGCAGUCAGAGGUAGUUGGGUGUCUGCAGCUCCGCUGUCUCGGACAAACUACACUCCUCUCACUCAGCGCCGAGUUCACUCCGCUCGUUUUCUGACGUUGAAGCCCAGAAACAGAGAUUCUAGCCGCUCAGUAAUGUGUUCACGACUUAAAGAGAAAGUUUUCAAACUAACUUCCAGACAGAGCUGAUAUAACUCCAGCGAGCAGCGACACGCUCAAACCAGCACGACUCUGUGGCUGCUGUCAUCUUUCCUCCCCGACACACAACAACGUGGUCAAGCUGCUCAGACAUGUUCAUCAGCACAGACCUAUGAGAGCACCUGUUGACAUCUAAUGUUGUCAUUAUUAUGAUGAAGAUAAACAAAACAACAGGAGUCUCCUCCUCAGCUCAGGUCAGCCCCAUGAUGCAGGUAUCUGGCUGGAACAGGUGAGCAUCACAGUAAACCAGUGGAACAAACUGAGCUUUAAAUAUGCUGGUUUUCUGCUCUUUUUCAGCUCCAAAACAUGAAAGUUAACAGGUGAGAUGUUGCAUUUUCAUUUAAGAUAAAAUGAUAUUUUUAUUUUGUUGUUGGCACGUGAGCAAAGAUUUAACCUACAGUAAACAGGAAGUGGAAAGGCUGCAGAUAGAUGAAUAGAAUAGAAAAUCCCUUUAUUGUUCCUCAGUGGGGAAAGCUAGACGUCACAGCAGCGAUGACACGUAUUACAGGAGAAAAAAAGAGAAUAAAAAAUAAGAAAAAUGAAUAAACAAGAAAACAUAAAUCCUGAAUAGAUUUUAAAAAUGCUGAUUAUACCACAAGUAAUGAAUACCACUGAUGCCUUUUAUUUAAAACUGACUUGCUCGUGUGUAAUUUGGUUAUUCCACAUUCAGUGUUAAUGCAGAAAUAUGUUUGUUUCCAAAUUUAACGGUUCAAAAUUGCAUAUAUGUUGAUAAAGAAAAUGUGCAAAUUUGCCGUCACUUUUUCAAAAAAUAUUAAGUUUGGCCCUCGACUCCGUCCCAGUGUUUCAUUUCGGCCCCUUGUGAGUUUGAGUUUGACACCCCUGCACUAAGGUGAUCAAAAGUUCCUUUCUCCGGACACGUACGCUUUCACGGUCUUCCCCUGGAAUCUGCGGAGCAUUUAUAGAUCGAUGAAAAUGUCCGCGUUUCAUCCUAUUUAGCAGAUGAAUAUGGUAGAAUCAAAAUUAACUGGUCUGAUGUAUGGAAUACCACAGCGUUUAACCGCUCUUAUCACGUCUUCCCCAGGCUCUGCAGUUGUUUACAAUAUGUCAAAGUGCAGGUGCACCGUGCAGCUUAGAGAUGAACUGGUUGCAGCAAAUGUGUGGCGGAGGCCAGGGCGGGACUGGGACAAAAAUUCAGCCCGGGCAUUUUGACUGGAGACCGGCCCAUCACCUGGUUUUUGUGGAAAACACAUUAAGCCUUACGCUGUUUUUGACACACACCAACGUACACUUUCUUGUUGGUAAUAUUUAUGUGUCAAUCUAAUAAACGUAAACCUACACCAUCCGUCCUAUCCUGGUAUUCUAAAAAGUACUUAGUAAAAAGGAAAAAAGACCACUUGAUUAAGGCAACACCCCAAACAAUCUCUUAACACUUGGUAGAAACCUGACAUUUAAACAGAGAACUAUUAAUCAAUAAUGAAUAUUAAUAUAAAAAAAGACAUUUGUGGAAAUUUUCAUAAACUGUUUUAUCACCACACCAACUAGGAAAUACUUUUACAAUACAUUUAAAAAAGAAAGGAGACAGAGAAAGGUGAGAUAAAAUAACUUAACUGACCAUUUGAGGUCUUUUUAGAGAUCGUACUGGUGCAGUAUCUAGAAAAUGUGGGGAAAAUGCUGCCAUCGUAUACAGUAUUCACUUCUGUAACUAUUUGUUAAUAUGUUGUUAAUACGAGUUGCAGUAUUUAUAGCUAUCCUGUUAGGGUGUGUAAUUGUUGGACGGAAUCUUUAACAAAACACAUAAUUAAUAAAUUAUUUGUGUAUGAUUGUGUGCAUUUAGAAUAUCUAUAUUAAAGUCUCCACAAACACUAACUUAUGAUUAUUUGUAUUUAAUUCUACUGUACAUUUCUUUAAAUUUGUUCUGAAAAAUAAUUCAUUAUUAAUAAUUAAUUAUUAGAGGUGGGAAAAAUGAUCGAUUCUAAGAUGCAUCGCGAUUCAGCCGUGCACGAUUCCGCAUCGAUGCAGCAACGUGACAUAAUGAGAUUCUCUCCCUAUGUCUAUGUUGGGGGUCGGCAACCGCGGCUCUGGAGCCGCAUGCGGCUCUUCCAUCCAUCUGAUGCGGCUCUCUGUACUUAUAAAAUAAUGAAUGGAUAUUUAAAUAAAAAGUUUUAUAUUUUACUGCAUUAAUUUUACAUCUGUAUGCCAAUUCUAAAUGUAAAGAUCGUCUGCGUAAACCUGAACAGCUCCAACCCGGUCUUACUGUGAGACCGGGUUGACGCGUCACGCUUGUGCGUAAUCAUAAAGGCGCAUUCUGAGCUGACGAGGACGUGAGAUUCUGGGAUUCUCCUCAGGUCCUGGAUGUGUCGCCACAUUGGAGACAGGAACAAGCGCUAUUCAGCCAAAGUUUCAUAAUCAGGGAACAUUUUCUAAGUGACAAGUCUCGCUUCAGUUGGAGGAAUCUUCCUGCCCUUUGGUUCUGCGACGUGCUCCAAGCCCCUCUCCACAACUUCAGCUCGCUGUGCGCCGUACGUACGCACUGACAGCGAGCUGCGCUGAGCUCAGUGUCAAGCUCAGAUGGGAAUAAUUUCUUAAGUUAUUUAGCGACAUCUGCGCGAAACGAAUAAAGUGUCAGUUCGUCUGCUUGCGUCGGGGUAGUUCUUUCUAUUCUUUCUCCGUCAAAAUAAACGGUUAAAUACGGGAACUAUCCGGUCAACACAACACAAGCCCUGCUUUUAACUGUUCUGUUUUCUUGUGAAAAUUGUUGCAAAGAGAUAUAAUUAAACUUGAUUAACACCAGAGCCAGGCGCACUGCACCGUUAUCUCCGUCACUGUAAAUGAGGGAAAAACAAAUUGAUCGGAUCCUUUUCUGACCUUCCCCACCUACAAAGUUUAAUUACAACAAUCAAACAUGACAGAGCCUGGAUUUGUAUUCUGAACAGUCUAAACAUGUUUUAAAAAGAAACGUAUGACAAAAGUGGCACCUGCUCAGUAAAACCACCAACAGGGUGAAAAAUAUCAAAAUAUUGUAGACAGAGACGGGCUACAGCUUCUGGAUCAACUUUAUAUAAAUCAUUUUAUUGAUUAUCGUCUUAUGAAAGAUAACUUUGAUGUACACGAGCGACCGGUACUGGCUGCUGUCACCUGUUGUGAGCCAACACAAUAGCGCUCUGCUGUCUGAGGGUAGGCCCCGCCCACAACGCCGCGGCUGCUGCAGUGUUUUCUUUACUGUGGGAAACGGGUAAUAAUGGAUCUUUGAUGGGAACAGGUUGCCGACCCCUGGUCUAUGUCUAUGCGAGGACAAUAAAGUUUUGAGGUUUUACAAUUACUUCUGGGGGCAGAGUUGCAAUGACAUGCGCACUGCGUUGUCCUAGAAGCAAUUGGACAGGGAUACAGGGCCAACAUUACCAGUAAUCAAAGAUGUACCCGUUACAUUUAAAUCGGAUGUCUGGGCUAAUUUCGGUUUUGGGAUCCUGGGUGUGAAAGAAUCACUUAACACAGUAUUUGUUUACUAUUUUUAAGUUCAGUAAUAUUCAAUCUUAAAGCUGCUCUACCGAAAACAUUAUUUCUUAUAUUAUUUAAGUAAUUAUAGGCAGCACACUUU